rnacentral:rRNA from 1 species
GACGAACGCUGGCGGCGUGCUUAACACAUGCAAGUCGAACGGAAAGGCCCUGCUUUUGUGGGGUGCUCGAGUGGCGAACGGGUGAGUAACACGUGAGUAACCUGCCCUUGACUUUGGGAUAACUUCAGGAAACUGGGGCUAAUACCGGAUAGGAGCUCCUGCUGCGUGGGGGGGGUUGGAAAGUUUCGGCGGUUGGGGAUGGACUCGCGGCUUAUCAGCUUGUUGGUGGGGUAGUGGCUUACCAAGGCUUUGACGGGUAGCCGGCCUGAGAGGGUGACCGGCCACAUUGGGACUGAGAUACGGCCCAGACUCCUACGGGAGGCAGCAGUGGGGAAUAUUGCACAAUGGGCGGAAGCCUGAUGCAGCAACGCCGCGUGCGGGAUGACGGCCUUCGGGUUGUAAACCGCUUUCGCCUGUGACGAAGCGUGAGUGACGGUAAUGGGUAAAGAAGCACCGGCUAACUACGUG